AUACGUAGGUGGCAAGCGUUGUCCGGAAUAACUGGGCGUAAAGCGCAUGUAGACGGCAUGAUAAGCCAAAUGUGAAAUGUAGGGGCUCAACCCCUGCACUGCGAUUGGAACUGUCAAGCUUGAGUGCAGGAGAGGCAAAUGGAAUUCCCAGUGUAGCAGUGAAAUGCGUAGAGAUUGGGAGGAACACCAGUGGCGAAGGCGAUUUGCUGGACUGCAACUGACGUUGAGAUGCGAAAGCUAGGGGAGCAAACGGGAUUAGAUACCCCGGUAGUCCUAGCCGUAAACGAUAGAUACUAGGUGUAGAGGGUAUCGACCCCUUCUGUGCCGCAGCGAACGCAAUAAGUAGCCCGCCUGGGGAGUACGGUCGCAAGACUGAAACUCAAAGGAAUUGACGGGG
rnacentral:rRNA from 1 species